AGAGACAGCAGUAGCCGCGGUAAUACAGAGGGUGCAAGCGUUAAUCGGAAUUACUGGGCGUAAAGCGCGCGUAGGUGGUUUGUUAAGUUGGAUGUGAAAUCCCCGGGCUCAACCUGGGAACUGCAUCCAAAACUGGCAAGCUAGAGUAUGGUAGAGGGUGGUGGAAUUUCCUGUGUAGCGGUGAAAUGCGUAGAUAUAGGAAGGAACACCAGUGGCGAAGGCGACCACCUGGACUGAUACUGACACUGAGGUGCGAAAGCGUGGGGAGCAAACAGGAUUAGAUACCCCUGUAGUCCCUGUCUCUUAUAC
rnacentral:rRNA from 1 species